AGUCAAUAGAUACCCCGGUAGUCCACGCCGUAAACGAUGAGUACUAGGUGUAGGAGGUAUCGACUCCUUCUGUGCCGCAGUUAAACACAAUAAGUACUCCGCCUGGGAAGUACGGUCGCAAGAUUAAAAACUCAAAGGAAUUGACGGGGGCCCGCACAAGCAGCGGAGCAUGUGGUUUAAUUCGAAGCAACGCGAAGAACCUUACCUAGACUUGACAUCUCCUGAAUAGCGCAGAGAUGCGUGAAGCCCUUCGGGGCAGGAAGACAGGUGGUGCAUGGUUGUCGUCAGCUCGUGUCGUGAGAUGUUGGGUUAAGUCCCGCAACGAGCGCAACCCCUAUUAUUAGUUGCUACCAUUAAGUUGAGCACUCUAAUGAGACUGCCCGGGUUAACCGGGAGGAAGGCGGGGAUGACGUCAAAUCAUCAUGCCCCUUAUGUCUAGGGCUACACACGUGCUACAAUGGUGAGAACAACGAGAUGCAAUACCGCGAGGUGGAGCAAAACUUGAAAACUCAUCUCAGUUCGGAUUGUAGG
rnacentral:rRNA from 1 species